GCCAGACUCCUACGGGAGGCAGCAGUGGGGGAUAUUGCACAAUGGGGGGAACCCUGAUGCAGCGACGCCGCGUGGGUGAAGGAGCGUUUCGGCGCGUAAAGCCCUAUCGGCAGGGAAGAAGGAGGACGGUACCUGACUAAGAAGCCCCGGCUAACUACGUGCCAGCAGCCGCGGUAAUACGUAGGGGGCAAGCGUUAUCCGGAUUCACUGGGUGUAAAGGGAGCGUAGACGGCGACGCAAGUCUGGAGUGAAAGCCCGGGGUCCAACCCCGGGACUGCUCUGGAAACUGCGUCGCUGGAGUACGGGAGGGGCAGGCGGAAUUCCUGGUGUAGCGGUGAAAUGCGUAGAUAUCAGGAGGAACACCGGCGGCGAAGGCGGCUUGCUGGACGAUGACUGACGUUGAGGCUCGAAAGCGUGGGGAGCAAACAGGAUUAGAUACCCUUGUA
rnacentral:rRNA from 1 species